GACGGAGGAUGCAAGCGUUAUCCGGAAUGAUUGGGCGUAAAGCGUCCGCAGGUGGCAGUUCAAGUCUGCUGUCAAAGACCGGGGCUUAACUUCGGAAAGGCAGUGGAAACUGAACAGCUAGAGUAUGGUAGGGGCAGAGGGAAUUCCUGGUGUAGCGGUGGAAUGCGCAGAUAUCAGGAAGAACACCAACGGCGAAGGCAGCUCGCUGGGACGGAACUGACGCUGAGGCGCGAAAGCGUGGGGAGCGAACAGG
rnacentral:rRNA from 1 species